AUUGUAAUGUAUACUUAUUCAAAAGUAGUAAUUCUUACAGUGUAAUAUCAAGUUUCAAUAGGAACUAGAAAAAAACAUGAAACUAUACACAAAAUAUUCAUGUAAUGAAUGUUCUUGACUUGGAAGAGUAUUUUUUACUAGAUAUUUACUCGUACUAUUAAAUUAUUUAUUGUCACUGCACCAACACCUGAACAUUCUAAGUAACUUUUAUUCUGAAGAAACAGCGCGUUGGAUUUCGCGCAUGCGCCAUUUGACAACGUAAAGCCAGUGAAGCGCCAGAGAAGAAGCGGGAAGAGGGCUCUGAAGCUCUGAAGCAAGAUCUCUGGAUCGCAAUUUUGCUGGAUCGGGUCGAGACGAGAAGAAGUGACAAACAUCAGAUACUGCAGGUUGAGCCAGAGGAGAGUGCCCUGAGGGUGAUGCUGCACUGUUGGUCUAUUUCAGGCAGACCUUUCGGCUAGGAAGAACCAGUGCAGUUGACAGUUGAGAAGGACAGAUUAAAGGGUUUCAAUGGAG
rnacentral:lncRNA from 1 species